rnacentral:rRNA from 1 species
AUUUUUAUGGAGAGUUUGAUCCUGGCUCAGGAUGAACGCUGGCGGCGUGCCUAAUACAUGCAAGUCGAGCGAACAGACGAGGAGCUUGCUCCU